GAGCGGCGAACGGGUGAGUAACACGUGAGCAACCUGCCCCUGACUNUGGGAUAAGCCCGGGAAACUGGGUCUAAUACCGGAUAUGACACGCUCCCGCAUGGGGUGCGUGUGGAAAGUUUUUCGGUUGGGGAUGGGCUCGCGGCCUAUCAGCUUGUUGGUGGGGUAGUGGCCUACCAAGGCGACGACGGGUAGCCGGCCUGAGAGGGCGACCGGCCACACUGGGACUGAGACACGGCCCAGACUCCUACGGGAGGCAGCAGUGGGGAAUAUUGCGCAAUGGGCGGAAGCCUGACGCAGCGACGCCGCGUGGGGGAUGACGGCCUUCGGGUUGUAAACCUCUUUCAGCAGGGACGAAGUUGACGUGUACCUGCAGAAGAAGCGCCGGCUAACUACGUGCCAGCAGCCGCGGUAAUACGUAGGGCGCAAGCGUUGUCCGNAAUUAUUGGGCGUAAAGAGCUCGUAGGUGGCUUGUCGCGUCGGAUGUGAAAGCCCGCAGCUUAACUGCGGGUCUGCAUUUGAUACGGGCAGGCUAGAGGUAGGUAGGGGAGAACGGAAUUNCCU
rnacentral:rRNA from 1 species